GAUGAACGCUGGCGGCGUGCCUAAUACAUGCAAGUCGAGCGAACAGACGAGGAGCUUGCUCCUCUGACGUUAGCGGCGGACGGGUGAGUAACACGUGGAUAACCUACCUAUAAGACUGGGAUAACUUCGGGAAACCGGAGCUAAUACCGGAUAAUAUAUUGAACCGCAUGGUUCAAUAGUGAAAGACGGUUUUGCUGUCACUUAUAGAUGGAUCCGCGCCGCAUUAGCUAGUUGGUAAGGUAACGGCUUACCAAGGCAACGAUGCGUAGCCGACCUGAGAGGGUGAUCGGCCACACUGGAACUGAGACACGGUCCAGACUCCUACGGGAGGCAGCAGUAGGGAAUCUUCCGCAAUGGGCGCAAGCCUGACGGAGCAACGCCGCGUGAGUGAUGAAGGUCUUCGGAUCGUAAAACUCUGUUAUUAGGGAAGAACAAAUGUGUAAGUAACUAUGCCCGUCUUGACGGUACCUAAUCAGAAAGCCACGGCUAACUACGUG
rnacentral:rRNA from 1 species